UUUUAGAAAGAGGGAAUAACCAUCCGACUCGUUUAAAGGUCCGUUUUUGUUGACAGUACGCGUAGACGAAAACCGCGAGAUCGAGAAUUAUAGAUUAUUGGAAUUUUAAGUUAAGGUUAUUUUAAUGAAAUACUUAACAGCAUAAAAAGUGUUAAUAAGAGAAAAACAAGUUCAAAGGAAGAACGAUAUUAAAUUUCUACAAAAUAAAGAGAAAUCGAUAUAAAAAAGCCAUAAAACGUGACGAGAUCGUGGGAAGAGAUCUAUGAAAGAAUAUAUAUGAAAUUUCUUAUUAAAACGCGUAUAACGAAUAUCUCGCGAUUUUAUCUACUAUUGUUUAAAGAUUAGAUAUACUCCAUAUACACCGUACAGUGUCUAAACGAAUGUAAAGUAAUCGAAAUUAUAAAUUAUUUAAGGUUAGGGCUGUCUAUCACUCGUUGUUUUAUGAUGGUUUACGCCAAUGAUGAGUACAAAUAUAAUUUUUUAACGAUUCUGACGAACGAGAUCGUUUUAAAGAUGAAUAUUCGAGUAAGAAUACGAUUCUUCCGAACUUUCGAAUGCACGCUUCGUUUUGUUUGAAAAAAUCGUGUCAAAGUGAUGUUUUCUCGACAAUAAUACGCGCAUAAAGAUAAAGGUUAAGGUUAAUUUUAAAACAUUUAAAUUGUCGUUGUAGCAAAGUCUCGUUACGCACACCAAGCAACGAAAGAAAAACUAGUCGAGCGUGAUAAAUUGUUAUUACUACAUGUGUGUAUGUACCAUGUACAAUUCGGAGAAUUUGGAAAGUCUUGUAGUGAAAAGUAUUUGUAAAUAAACAAGGGACGAUCGGAGAGAUCAACCUUGGCUUUCCCCCAUUCGUCGUCCUUACUAACGUGUGUUAGUACGCAGUAUUCGUUCCUCCAAGCAGCUAUCUGGACGUGUUUUAUCUACCACGAACGACUCUGACAACGCUUGCAUCGUGUCUGUUGAACGAGUAAAAACGUACAAAAUGUCGACAGAUCGAUUCUCGACAUGAUGAUCGAGUGAACAUCAAUCGACCAUAUCGUAAUCGUGAUCCUGAGCGUGAUCGUCACAGAGUUCGAUCGAGAACUUACGAUUUCGGCAGUGUUCGACUAUAAAAUCGAUACAAUAUUAUACGUAAUAUUAUGGUACGGCAUAGUUAUCUUGUGGUCAAAGCGAGGAAGAAUCACGUGUCGUGCAAGACGGACGCGUUGAAACUUAUCUUUUUAUUAUUCUCUCUUAAGUAAAUUAUUUAAUAUUUUGGAAAGUUCACUUCGCGAGGUGGUUCACCGUUCUCGACCAUCCAAAUGCUUCCGCUUUUGCCCAUACUCAAAAUAUGAAUCAACGCUUUGGCAACGUGCUCCGCUCUGGAAAAAAAAAAGAGAAAAAAAAAAUUAGAAAAGACAAAAAAUAUCUUGUAUCGAAUACGUAUCCACUUGGGAAUAUAUUGUUGAUAAAAAUAGUAAAAGAAGCAGUGUCUCGACUCCAGGCGUCUUGAUAUCGUGGCGAAAGUAACUGUUUGCCAACAUCUGUCACCAAAUUACUGUCCGUGGCGCUUGGACAAAGUGCCAUCACUUUGACGCCCGUUAGCUCCACGUGAUACUG